rnacentral:rRNA from 1 species
UACGUAGGGGGCAAGCGUUGUCCGGAUUUAUUGGGCGUAAAGAGCGUGUAGGCGGUCAGGUAGGUCCGUUGUGAAAACUCGAGGCUCAACCUCGAGACGCCGAUGGAAACCAUCUGACUAGAGUCCGGAAGAGGAGAGUGGAAUUCCCGGUGUAGAGGUGAAAUGCGUAGAGAUCGGGAGGAACACCAGUGGCGAAGGCGGCUACCUGGACCAGCACUGACACUGAGGCACGGAAAGCGUGGGGAGCAAACAGG